GCCCGAGUAGCUCAGUCGGUAGAGCGUUAGGCUUAUAACCUAACGGUCCAGGGUCCGAACCCCUGCUCGGGCG
rnacentral:tRNA from 1 species